AUUUGAAGGCACAAAGAACUGAGAACUUGGGGAUCCACUGAGGUCUGAGGCACAGUGGUCCCAGAGGAGAUGAAUGGGCCUUCAGCAUGAAACUGGUCCCCUGUAGACAGCAGCCUGAUUUCUCCAUUGGGUUCUAUCAGCAUGUCCACCGUCACGUUGGUAAUACUCUCUGAAGACCAUGUUUAUGAAAACACCAGGGAAAUAAAGCAGUGAAUUUCCAAAAUGAGGAUUUGUUUGCUCUGGCACAAUCACACACAAGUCCGGGUCCUCUCAAGGCCAUCCCCCUCUCGCCGAGGGGCGCGGAGGACAGAGGACCGGAAGCAAAUGGCGCGCGGCCGGCGGAGGAGAGUCAGCCCACCCUGACUCUGCUCCAAAUACCCGAGCCUGCUCUGUGGCUUUCCGCAAAGCAGGUUCUUCCAAAAGAACUCCAACGGGGACUUCCUGUGUGUGAAAACACUAACCAAUUCUUGUUCCUCUCAUCUUUUGCUUUAUUCCUUCCUUCCACGCUGUUAUUGCGAAAAACUGGCAGUUAAAUUCAAUUGAUUCAAAAUAUUCCGGAUCCAUAUGGCCGCCAACCCUGGAGCGGAGGCGGCGAUAGCGCCUCACUGCUGUUCUCAAGCAUUUGCCUCUCCCCUAGUCCCCAGACGGUGGGAGUAACAUUUAAACCUCCUUUUCUCUGCCUUGUACAAUAGACCUUGGCACCAUUUCAACUGUUUACUCCGGUAAUUAACAGCUCUGAUACCACAACAAUUACAACUCCUACACUCUCACCACAAUAAUGCUAUGAAUUAGUGAGAGCUAAUGGCUGGAAGGUAGAGCGUUUCCAGACUGUGAGAUCUGUGCAUUUUUAGAAUAAAAUAAAAGGUACAAACAGCACGCUUGCAGUAGACAAUGAUUACCUUGUAAUUAGUUUACACAAAGCUUCCUAUUUAAUGGCAAAAUGCUGUAAUUAACGUGUGACAGAAAAUCAAAGGGUACUUUGUAAGCAUAUGAAAAAUUAACACUGCAGGCCCAUAGCUUUAUGUACUGAUUAGAAGCAUAUUAAAUCAAUAGGACACACAAACCAACAGCUUGUAUAGCUGAUUAUUAUAGGUCCUCGGAAGGGGGACCCAGCUUUCAUUUAACUUGGGGAGGCAAUUUUCCUUCUCCUGUCAUCUUCCUCAGGCACUGAGACGCACCUCCAACCCAACCCUGGCAGCUUCCUGAAAAUAACCACUGAACUGGAAGAAAACAUUCUAAGUCAUUUUCAGAGAUAAGGAAAAAUAUGUAAAUGAUUAAGACUUUCCAAUGAUUGCGGUGACGUGCUGCUACACUAAUUAGAAAAGACACCAACUGGAACCAGAAAAAUGAAGCAAAUGGGUCUCAACCUUGUGGUCAGAAAAAUCUCUAGUUUAUCAGGUCAAUGCCUCUUUAUUCAACAUGCAGGAUGCUAAAAUAACUGGAAUUAUUUUCUAUUUUCAAAUUAUAAGAAACCAGGCUGCUAGCAAGGCUUAUUCUUUUAAAGGCAUUAUCUGGGUAAACCAUUGGAUUAGGCAUGCUUUGGUCCACAAUCUUGUAUCUUCAACAGUCACAAUCCUAUAUGAUAACUGAUGCUUAGAACAAUAUUCUGGAAGCCUAAAAGGUGCUAUGGGACCUUCUGAAUCACCAGAAAAACAUUAAGUUGUACGUACUUGUUCAAUACUACCUACAAUUUAAUUCUAAUGCAAUUUUAUGGUAAUGUUAAUAACACAUAGUCUUAUGUGCUAAAUAUUGAUACAUUGGCAGCCAAUUCACAAGGGUCAUCUCAUUUAAUUCUUACUACCUCCUCCAGGAGACAGGUACUAAUAUUAUUUCUCUUUACACUUGAAGAAAUAGAGGCUUGGACAGCUGAAGUGAUUUGCCCAUGGUUCCUCCUUGCCUAGUCCAUGGAACCCGUGAAGCCAGACCACCUCCUACUUAUCCUGAAUGUUCAACUAUUCAGACUGGUUUAUUCCAUACCUUUUCCUGCUUAAAAGGAAAUUUACCACAUCAAUCUGGAACAGGAGAUAUAAAGAAAUACAUAAAAAAAAAUUUGGUUGCUUAUCCAAAAAGCAGGGUUUUUUGAACAUGUGAAUUGUCCAAAAGAAAUCUUUAAUUUUUCAGUAAUUUUUACUCUUUCUGUGCACAUGUUGAUUUCUUAACGUAAAUGCUUUGUUUAAGAUAGUGUUCCCUGUUGAGAAUAUUUUCAUGGAAUAAAAUCAUCUUU